rnacentral:lncRNA from 1 species
ACACACUGUGUGCACUCAUUCACAUUCACCAUCCUUGCACAAAUAACCACCACUCUCCAUUGGCUCUCCAUCCAACUUCCUCCUUCCCACCCAAAAAACUUCCAUCGCGCCAUGGCAUUUGGCCUCGAAUGGGACAAGGCGCUGCAGGAGAUCUUCGACGGCGGCAACACCAAGCUCCCCUACGCGCGUGAGGUGAGCACCUGUUACACCAGCGUUGAAAUCCUGAAGAACCAUGCGCGCGCAGUGAGGUCUGCUGCCAACCAAGAGGAGUACGCCCGAUUGCCAGACCUUCGCCGCCCACUGAUCGAGAAUUUGGUCUGGGCGAUGGGCGAGGAAAGGGAUUCCCAG